rnacentral:rRNA from 1 species
GACGAACGCUGGCGGCGUGCUUAACACAUGCAAGUCGAACGGAAAGGCCCUGCUUUUGUGGGGUGCUCGAGUGGCGAACGGGUGAGUAACACGUGAGUAACCUGCCCUUGACUUUGGGAUAACUUCAGGAAACUGGGGCUAAUACCGGAUAGGAGCUCCUGCUGCAUGGUGGGGGUUGGAAAGUUUCGGCGGUUGGGGAUGGACUCGCGGCUUAUCAGCUUGUUGGUGGGGUAGUGGCUUACCAAGGCUUUGACGGGUAGCCGGCCUGAGAGGGUGACCGGCCACAUUGGGACUGAGAUACGGCCCAGACUCCUACGGGAGGCAGCAGUGGGGAAUAUUGCACAAUGGGCGGAAGCCUGAUGCAGCAACGCCGCGUGCGGGAUGACGGCCUUCGGGUUGUAAACCGCUUUCGCCUGUGACGAAGCGUGAGUGACGGUAAUGGGUAAAGAAGCACCGGCUAACUACGUGCCAGCAGCCGCGGUGAUACGUAGGGUGCGAGCGUUGUCCGGAUUUAUUGGGCGUAAAGGGCUCGUAGGUGGUUGAUCGCGUCGGAAGUGUAAUCUUGGGGCUUAACCCUGAGCGUGCUUUCGAUACGGGUUGACUUGAGGAAGGUAGGGGAGAAUGGAAUUCCUGGUGGAGCGGUGGAAUGCGUAGAUAUCAGGAGGAACACCAGUGGCGAAGGCGGUUCUCUGGGCCUUUCCUGACGCUGAGGAGCGAAAGCGUGGGGAGCGAACAGGCUUAGAUACCCUGGUAGUCCACGCUGUAAACGGUGGGUACUAGGUGUGGGGUCCAUUCCACGGGUUCCGUGCCGUAGCUAACGCUUUAAGUACCCCGCCUGGGGAGUACGGCCGCAAGGCUAAAACUCAAAGGAAUUGACGGGGCCCCGCACAAGCGGCGGAGCAUGCGGAUUAAUUCGAUGCAACGCGUAGAACCUUACCUGGGUUUGACAUGGAUCGGGAGCGCUCAGAGAUGGGUGUGCCUCUUUUGGGGUCGGUUCACAGGUGGUGCAUGGCUGUCGUCAGCUCGUGUCGUGAGAUGUUGGGUUAAGUCCCGCAACGAGCGCAACCCUUGUUCACUGUUGCCAGCACGUUAUGGUGGGGACUCAGUGGAGACCGCCGGGGUCAACUCGGAGGAAGGUGGGGAUGACGUCAAGUCAUCAUGCCCCUUAUGUCCAGGGCUUCACGCAUGCUACAAUGGCUGGUACAGAGAGUGGCGAGCCUGUGAGGGUGAGCGAAUCUCGGAAAGCCGGUCUCAGUUCGGAUUGGGGUCUGCAACUCGACCUCAUGAAGUCGGAGUCGCUAGUAAUCGCAGAUCAGCAACGCUGCGGUGAAUAUGUUCCCGGG